CAUGUGCCGCUGAGCCUGGAUGAUGGCGUUGACGUCCUCGGAAUUGACCAUGCUCAGCAUCCGGCUGCAGAACACGCCGGAGGCACUGGGCUCCACCAUGAUGAAGCUCCAGAUAGAGAAAACUACGAAAUAGCAGUCAGUCACUGUUAGUGUGUCCGCCUCACAUGCAGAAGUGCAUUGUUCCGUUCCUGUUCCGGCCUUCCUGUGUGGAGUUUACAUGUUGUACCCCGUGUCUGCGUGAGUACUCUGGUUUCCUCUAACAUCCCCAAAACCUGCAUUGCAGGUUAAUGGAACACUCGCGAGUGUGAGCAGGAAUGGUUGUCCGUCUAUGUGUGCCCUGCGAUUGGCUGGCUACCAGGUCAAGGGGUAUCCCGCCUAUUGCCCGAUGACAGCCGGCAUACGCUCCGUCACGACCGCGACCCUCCUGAGGAUAAACAUUUUAGAAAAUGGAUGGAUGUAUAGUCUUUCACCUUUUCUGUGAAUUCUUGUUGUUGUUUUUUUUUUACUGCAUGACUUUCAACUAACCUCUCAAUUCUUGUCACGUAGAGCCAAACCAUAUAUGUUGAUCCAAGUUGAAUAUUACUGUUUAAAAAGUUGAAGUUGUCGCCACUGUUGGAAAGUUUCGUUUCAUUGCAUUUGCUAAAAUGGUUCAAAAAAGGGAAGUGAGGUAAAUGCAGAAGGCCAGAAUAAAGCCCAGAGGAUAUUGCAGUGUG